rnacentral:rRNA from 1 species
UACGAAGGGGGCUAGCGUUGCUCGGAAUUACUGGGCGUAAAGGGCGCGUAGGCGGACAGUUUAGUCAGAGGUGAAAGCCCAGGGCUCAACCUUGGAAUUGCCUUUGAUACUGGCUGUCUUGAGUUCGGGAGAGGUGAGUGGAAUGCCGAGUGUAGAGGUGAAAUUCGUAGAUAUUCGCAAGAACACCAGUGGCGAAGGCGGCUCACUGGCCCGGUACUGACGCUGAGACGCGGAAAGCGUGGGGAGCAAACAGG